UAGGGAAUAUUGGUCAAUGGAGGCAACUCUGAACCAGCCAUGCCGCGUGCAGGAAGAAGGUCCUCUGGAUUGUAAACUGCUUUUAUAAGGGACGAAAAAGGGCAUGCGUGCCAAAUUGACGGUACUUUAUGAAUAAGCCACGGCUAACUACGUGCCAGCAGCCGCGGUAAUACGUAGGUGGCGAGCGUUAUCCGGAUUUAUUGGGUUUAAAGGGAGCGUAGGCGGCUUUAUAAGUCAGUGGUGAAAGGUAGCAGCUUAACUGUUUUACAUGCCAUUGAUACUGUAGAGCUUGAGUUAUUAGGAGGCAGAUAGAAUUUCUGGUGUAGCGGUGAAAUGCUUAGAUACCAGGAGGAAUACCGAUUGCGAAGGCAGUCUGCUACAUAUAUACUGACGCUGAGGC
rnacentral:rRNA from 1 species